UUGCUAAUGAGUUGACCUCAUUUGUUGGGUGCUAGGGUUUUGUUCUCCUCUUUUUCCUCGGCGAAGUUCUUGCUGUCGACGACCAAUACAUGAGCAUCACCCAGUCCAUGCCUCCCGCUACACCUUUGGUGCUGCUCUAGCUCGUGAGCCCCCCAUCCCAGGCAUAGACUUCAACACCCAAGUGCCCAAUUCAGGAUUCUUUGCGGCACUCGGCUGCCUCGGCCUCAUCUCGGCUGUCGACAACCACAUAAAAGGUAGUAUUGAAGGAACACUUGGUUCUAACUUUGUUUAGAGAUGAGUACAUGAAAGAGAUAGUCUUGGAUGAAGAUCCACAAUUGGAGAGAAAGGUGAAUUUCUUCUUUAUGAAAUAUUUUCAUUAUAAAAUAUUGAGUCAUUUUUUAUUGA